rnacentral:rRNA from 1 species
ACGGAGGGUGCAAGCGUUGUUCGGAAUCACUGGGCGUAAAGGGCGCGUAGGCGGUUUGAUAAGUCAGCUGUGAAAGCGCACGGCUCAACUGUGGAAUGGCAUUUGAAACUGUCAGACUUGAGUAUGAGAGGGGAAAGUGGAAUUCCCGGUGUAGCGGUGAAAUGCGUAGAUAUCGGGAGGAAUACCGGUGGCGAAGGCGGCUUGCUGGAUGAUUACUGACGCUGAGGCGCGAAAGCGUGGGGAGCAAACAG